UACGAAGGGAACUAGCGUUGUUCGGAAUCACUGGGCGUAAAGCGGACGCAGGCGGACUAUCAAGUCAGAGGUGAAAGCCCAAGGCUUAACCUUGGAAUUGCCUUUGAAACUGAUAGUCUGGAGUAUGUGAGGGGAUAGCGGAAUUCCGAAUGUAGAGGUGAAAUUCGUAGAUAUCGAGAGGAACACCAGUGGCGAAGGCGAGUCCCUGGACAACUCCUGACACUGAGGCACGAAAGCUAGGGGAGCAAACAGG
rnacentral:rRNA from 1 species